rnacentral:lncRNA from 1 species
UAUAAUACACAUAUGUAUACAGUACACAUUUUUAUGUGUAUAUAUGUAUAUUUACUUAUAAAUAUUUGCUCAGAAACUAUGAAUUUAUCAGUGAAAGAUAAGGAAACUCCUCCAGUACAGAUCAGCAACUUGUCUGUACUGUAUAGUCUGAAAGAAUUGCCUGGGGCACUGAGAGCCUGAGUGGCUUGCCCCUUUUCACAGUGUGUGUCAGAGGUAGUGCUGUUUCUGAUUCCAAGCCUGGCCCUCCAUGCAUUAUAUCACACUGACUAUCUGAGACAAAAAUUUUCAUGUAUUCAGAAAUAAAUUAUAUAAGUAUAUGCUAAGGGAAGUAAGUAUAGAGAAUCAUUAAUAAUAAAAUAUCUAGGAUUUUGGUGGACUCAGUAAGAGCCAAGAAUCUGACAUACUAUUAGGUGUUCUGAAUAGAAAUUUAGUUUUCAGAAUGAAAGAGAUGAUGUUACUAUUCUACCCUAGUCAGUCCCACACAGGAAUAUUGUGUUUAAUUGCAGAGAACGCAUUUGAGGAAAGAUAUUGAAAAGCUGGAAUACAUCUAGAGAAUAGCUACAUGGAUGAGAAAGGGAUUCAAAGUCAUACUGUGAAUAGAAAGAUUGAAACUCCUACAAAUGUUUAGCGUAAAGAAGAAACUACUGGGGGGAAAGAGUGCCGAUGGCAGGAAAUUUCUGCUUGUGUCAUCUUUGAUGGAAAGCUGUCUCCUGUGGAAGUUUUAUGAGUCCAGAGCCUAAAGGAAUAAUGAAAUCUCAAGAGGGCCAUCCCUGUGCUAGCUGCUCAGAAUGGUUGCCAUCCAUUUUCAAUCUGGGGGGAAGGAAGAAGGAGCCAAGUAGUUAUUUCUGAACUUGAACUCACCUUUAAAUAACUGAGUAUGAAGUUUAUGGAAAAAGAUAAUGGCCUCUCCAAAAGGUCCUCAUCUCAGUUUACAGAUUUGUUUCUGGAAAAAACAAAAAGGGGGAAACCCGAAGUUAGUGAAAAAACUAAAGAUGAUGCCUCUGUACCCGUCAAAAGAAGAAAGAUCGUUUUUGAACCCCCUAAAACUGCUACCAACUCUGGUCUCUUAAGAAAUAUUGAAAAUAAAAAAAUAUGGAACACAUAUCAGUCAGCUCUGUCACAGUCUAAGUCAACACCAUCAAAAAUACCAUUAUUUAUGAAUGAAAAACCCUCCCCUCCCUGGGAAGACGAGGGAAAAACGGAGGAAGAAUGUCUACUUGAUUCUUUAAGAAAAAUGGUUAAUGAAAACCAAGAGCUAAGGAAAGAAAAUGAAGAAUUGAAGCAAUUAAUUAAAGAAAUGAAGAAUUCUUUCCUACAUAGGUUAUUUACUCCAGACAUCCAUAUGACGACAAUAGACUAUCUACAGCAACUUUUGAGCCAUUUGGAAAAAACAGCUCCAACGAAUAUUUAUUCUUCAUUCCUAAGAGAUGACUUGAAUCUUCAGGAUAAAAAUACAAAACCUUUGAUUAUAGAUCCUCGGGAUCCAGAUAAAUACUCCAAAGUGCUGGUGGACCAACUUAAAGUAUCUUCUGUAGUGAAGAAGGCAAAGCAGCAGAAAUAUUAUCGAGUAGCCUGCUUGUUAAAUGGACUUAUUGAUAUCUUGUUCAGUCCUGAGGAGCUGGCAAGUUCCCGUCAAUCAAGCCUGAAAGGGGAGUUUCCGAAAAAGAAAGAAGAUAAACUAGAAAAAGUUAAAAUUUUAGCUUGUGAAGCUUGAUGCCAUUGAGAGAGAUGAUGCAGUCUUUUACAGAAACCAUGGAGAUAUAUUUUUCCUGAUGUAGACAAGAUGGGCACUUUUUUUUUGUAAUAAACAACAGAACACCCACA